rnacentral:rRNA from 1 species
UACGUAGGGGCAAGCGUUGUCCGGAAUCAUUGGGCGUAAAGAGCGUGUAGGCGGCCCGGUAAGUCCGCUGUGAAAGUCCAGGGCUCAACCCUGGGAUGCCGGUGGAUACUGUCGGGCUCGAGUCCGGAAGAGGAGUGUGGAAUUUCCGGGUGGAGCGGUGGAAAUGCGUAGAGAUCGGAAGAACACCAACGGCGAAAAGCACUCUGCUGGGCCGACACUGACACUGAGAGACGAAAGCUAGGGGAGCGAAUGGG